UACGAAGGGGGCUAGCGUUGCUCGGAAUUACUGGGCAUAAAGCGCACGUAGGCGGAUUGUUAAGUCAGGGGUGAAAUCCUGGAGCUCAACUCCAGAACUGCCUUUGAUACUGGCGAUCUCGAGUCCGGGAGUGGUGAGUGGAACUGCGAGUGUAGAGGUGAAAUUCGUAGAUAUUCGCAAGAACACCAGUGGCGAAGGCGGCUCACUGGCCCGGUACUGACGCUGAGGUG
rnacentral:rRNA from 1 species